CUUUCCCUCUGGCGGCAGGCCUAACACAUGCAAGUCGAGCGGAUGAGGGGAGCUUGCUCCCUGAUUUAGCGGCGGACGGGUGAGUAAUGCCUAGGAAUCUGCCUGGUAGUGGGGGAUAACGUUCCGAAAGGAACGCUAAUACCGCAUACGUCCUACGGGAGAAAGCAGGGGACCUUCGGGCCUUGCGCUAUCAGAUGAGCCUAGGUCGGAUUAGCUAGUUGGUGAGGUAAUGGCUCACCAAGGCGACGAUCCGUAACUGGUCUGAGAGGAUGAUCAGUCACACUGGAACUGAGACACGGUCCAGACUCCUACGGGAGGCAGCAGUGGGGAAUAUUGGACAAUGGGCGAAAGCCUGAUCCAGCCAUGCCGCGUGUGUGAAGAAGGUCUUCGGAUUGUAAAGCACUUUAAGUUGGGAGGAAGGGCUGCUGGUUAAUACCCUGCAGUUUUGACGUUACCAACAGAAUAAGCACCGGCUAACUUCGUG
rnacentral:rRNA from 1 species